rnacentral:misc_RNA from 1 species
UCCUAGUUAACCUAGGCAGUCUCAUUAGAUUCCCCAUCCGAAAUGCUGGCAACUAAUGAUAAGGGUUGCGCUCGUUGCGGGACUUAACCCAACACCUCACGGCACGAGCUGACGACAGCCAUGCAGCACCUAUACAGCGACUCUUGCGAGAAGCUCCCUUUCAGGAGUUGUCCCCUGCACUUCUAGCCUGGGUAAGGUUCUGCGCGUUGCAUCGAAUUAAACCACAUGCUCCACUGCUUGUGCGGGCCCCCGUCAAUUCUUUUGAGUUUCACCCUUGCGAGCGUACUCCUCAGGCGGUAUACUUAUCGCGUUAGCUACGACACAGUCGGGGUUGAGUCCAACUACAUCAAGUAUACAUCGUUUACGGCAAGGACUAC